CAGCCGCCGCGGUAAUACGUAGGUGGCAAGCGUUGUCCGGAAUUAUUGGGCGUAAAGGGCUCGCAGGCGGUUUCUUAAGUCUGAUGUGAAAGCCCCCGGCUCAACCGGGGAGGGUCAUUGGAAUCUGUUAAACUUGAGUGCAGGAGAGAAAAGUGGAAUUCCUAGUGUAGCGGUGAAAUGCGUAGAGAUUAGGAGGAACACCAGUGGCGAAGGCGGCUUUUUGGCCUGUAACUGACACUGAGGCGCGAAAGCGUGGGGAGCAAACAGGAUUAGAUACCCGAGUAGUCCCUGUCUCUUAUAC
rnacentral:rRNA from 1 species